GAAUUAGUAGUUAAGUGGUUAUAAUAUAGCUCUUUUAAUGCUACCACCGUAGGUUCGAAUCCUGCCUAGUCUA
rnacentral:tRNA from 1 species